UGGGGAAUUUUCCGCAAUGGGCGCAAGCCUGACGGAGCAAUCUCGCGUGAGGGAUGACGGCCUAUGGGUUGUAAACCUCUUUUUUCAGGGAGGAACAAAAUGACGUGUACCUGAAGAAUAAGCAUCGGCUAACUCCGUGCCAGCAGCCGCGGUAAGACGGAGGAUGCAAGUGUUAUCCGGAAUCACUGGGCGUAAAGCGUCUGUAGGUGGUUUAGUAAGUCAACUGUUAAAUCUUGAAGCUCAACUUCAAAAUCGCAGUCGAAACUAUUAGACUAGAGUAUAGUAGGGGUAAAGGGAAUUUCCAGUGGAGCGGUGAAAUGCGUAGAGAUUGGAAAGAACACCGAUGGCGAAGGCACUUUACUGGGCUAUUACUGACACUCAGAGACGAAAGCUAGGGUAGCAAAUGGGAUUAGAUACCCGUAGU
rnacentral:rRNA from 1 species